UGCGGGGUAAGAGGUUUGGACGAAGCGGAAUCCGGAGCCGGGCUUGGAGUACCUACCGAGACCCAACGUGGGGCUUCGGGAACACGGAAUACAUCAAACGAUAAAUUGGGGAAAGACGUUGAGCAGUUCAAUCGGGCAGGAAGGGACCGAUCAGUAUCAGGGAACGGAUGUGAAACCCCCAAGGGUUGUGAGAGUGGAACCACCGAAUCCGGAGCCGGAACGGAAGCAUUUAGGGUUUCUAUUCAAUUCCAGUUGGCUGUCCUCCAAGUGUUUGCGCUUGGUCGUAGCCUUUUUAGGGAGUUCUGGAAUCCCCCGUUUUUCAUGCAGUUCAUGUUUGACCCGGGAUAAGGUUGUAGUAUCUAGAGUGGACAUCUUCCGUUUUGCCCAUUUGGAGGCCAUCUCAAAAGCGCGAGUCCAUUCCGUUAAGUCCAUUCCUUGGAUUUGCGCAAAAAUUUCCGAGCAGAUUUUAGAAUAAUGGUCUAAAAGGACCUUCAUGGUGGACUGGGACCAUUCCUUGGCAUUUUUAAUGUUCAAAGAUGCCGUUUCCGCCGAGAAAAUUGCUGGGCAAACGCCUUCCCUUAAUGACUUCUCCAGGAGUUGAAUGCCUCUGGGCAUUUUGUUUCUGGAGACAUGGUAAAAAUGAUGUGACGCUUUAAUAAGUUUCAUAAAAGUCUUGACCAAUUUAGGGAAUUCAUCACGUUGUUCGGCCAUAGCGAACCUAUAAGAAGUGAGAAGGUACGACUUAAUUGGAGCGUCAUAGGAUAUAUUAGUCCUAUGGCACUGGCAGGGUUAGGUUUUCUGAUUAUUUUUCACGAUGGCCUAUCCCAUGACAUGAGAAUUACUCAAGGCAUAUUUGGGAAGGAGCAUAUUUGGGAAGGAGCCAAAGGAAGGCACGGUCCAACACAUGGACUUAAUAUACCCCCGCUCCAGUCGUCUAUAGUUUGCAUAUUAGUCCACAUAGGGAUAUUUCUUCUCACUUAAAUCCCAAUUAGGUAGUAUGUAUAGAAAACAAAGAACCUACCUGAGAGCGGGAAAAAAGGUUUGAAAUAUUAAUUAAUGGCCCCCCCACGUCCAGAGAAAAACCCAGACAUAGUUUGGAAGAAGGAUCAAGGGAGUGCACUGGACGAAUACAUGGAUGUAAAUAUAUUAGCUUCCUAUGUAAUGAACAUAUUUAGGUCCAAGCCGACUGUCCCUCCCAAAGCGAAAUGGGAGAAGAACAGUAUUCGCCGUGUCCGGAAGACCUGGCGUGUGGCCUAAAAGAAGUUGUAGUCAUCCAGAUACUGGAAUAUACAUAAUCUAAUAAUAUGCCAUGAUCAGUUCACAGUCAAGAUUUAAACAAUCAUUGUGACCUCUUAGUAAGUGAUUAAUUUCCUAAUUUAAUUUUAAUUUCCCGCACACCCUGGGUCCCUCGCUCAUUAAGUGGACGAAUCAAUGUGUCGUGCGGUUAAGUAGGUAAGUCACAUUGGAGUUUUGUUGUCGGAAUCAAUCGGAAGUUAUGACCGUAAGCCGCCGUGGAGCGGCGCAAUACGGCUUACUACGUGGCUAACGGUCCAGUGAUUUUGAAGCUUCUGCCUAUUUUAAUCAUCUAAGUCAAAGUUUGGGAGACCAUUCAGCCAGUUAUAUUGGGUCUCAAUUUUAAGGUCCCUGAACUAACUCUAUUCCUAACACGCUUUUCGGGACACAUCAUCACAAGAUAUCCUUGAGUUCACAGAGUGUUUCGGCCAUUACAUCUAGACACCCUCACCCAAGGUCGGCCCACCGGAGUGAUCAAGCUCCAGCGUGCGUCCCGUGCCCAAUUUGAUCAUUAAGCCUAUUUUGGAGCCUCGAGGUUUAGAGCGAAUUUAUCAGCGCACGUCAGGUCUCAUGUCAGUCACACUAAGUCAGGUGAGUCCUCGUUUUCGAAGUUUAUUUCAAUGUUUGUUUCUAAUGGCCUGCUAUUUUAGAGUUAUUUUAGCGGGGACCCGACUUAGGCGGGAAUUUUAAGCGGUCCAAAAGUACGACUACUUACCGAAACCACAAAAAAUGUCGCUAUAGUGACGGUCGGAACCAACGAAGAGCGCCUAGGUCCUGGUGCGUCCACGGCCCAGUCCUAAACGACUAGGAGACGUAAAUUUAAGGGGAAGGUGGCAAUUUGAAGGAGUCCAAUGAGGAAUUUUUAGGGAAGCAAAACAAGCGUAUGUGGUGCAAAUGGACUUAUGCAUGAGUGAGGCUAAACGUAGAAGAACCGUAGUCGUACAAGACUGAGCAGCGUUUAAGGUCCUGAUGCCCUGGACCACCACACCUGCGUGCUGUCACUAGAGUCGGGACCCGAAUUGUGGUACUAUCGACCUCCGUCUGGACGGCUGCGUUCUCAAAAAAGGAGGACCCCUAAACCUCAAACGCCAUACUCAGGGGACAGUACUACCGGCGACACUCUGGUCGUCGUGUUCCUGGCACCCACAGAGAAUGGCCCGUACUAACGGCAGUCGGCCCGUCGUCGCUUUCCCACGUGACUCUGGAUGAAACUGAACUAACUGCGUCCAAAAGGACUGCGGGAUUCCAUUCAACAAAGUAGGCGACAACAUGUCGGUCAAGGGCCGGCAAGUCAGGUCCUGUGUUAGGAGCCAGACCCCCAGGCGCCCUCGUCCUCUCGGACGACAGGUGGGCGCACGGCAAGCGUCACGCAUACAAGUAACCCGCAGGGCAAACACCGUACUCACGGUCCGCUUUCCCGAGUACCCCUGGAAGACGGUACUCCCGGCAGCCAAGGCCAACGGUUUCACGUCCCCUUCAAAGUAGCGAGGGCCCAGCCUUCAACGGUGAGAGUGUGACGCAUACCGGCGACGGCAGCCAGGUGUUCAUUCUAGCGAAUUUCGGAGGACGAGCCCUCUCCAACGGCACGAAGAGCGCUGGAACACCAUUGCAGUCGAUGUCCGUCUUUUCCUUUUCAGAAUGUACGGUCCGGACCACCAGGGUUGCCACCAGGAAUCUUCACCGGAAAGAUGGCUUAAAAAUACGCAAAGUAAAAGAGAGUACUUACCGCGAGUGUCGUGGUGUCCGGACAGACUGAGAAAAAGACACCAAGUUGGGGUUGGGUUAUAAAGAAUCGUGGCGUCAAAGGAAGCCGCCAGUAUAAGCGGGUGGGAAAAGGAGGAGAUGCCCUCCAUUUCCAAGUAACAUCCACUUCAAAGAAACACUUCCGCCAUGGCUCGGUGCGUGGGAAGCGGACCAUCUUUGAAGGAGCUGCGCCAAUCCCAAUUGGGUGUGUGCGGUCCAGUGCGAAAAAGGCGUAAGGCCUUUGAAAGAGCCGUGCCAAUCCCGAUCGAGCUGGGGAAAAAAUGCGCCAGCCAACUGCGGGCACCAAAGGGCCGUGCUAACUUGAAGGGAACGUGUCAAUGUCGUUAAGGGGACACGCCCACAUCGCGCAGGCGCGAUCGUAACGUGCCGCUCACGUUCGGAUGUGAAGGGACAGAGCACAGCAAACAUUAGUACAAAAAAGCCGUCAUUUACCCGAGUUCAAUCAAGUGAACCCCAAAACCGUCGAGGGUACCCAGAACGUUACCAAUAUAUCCUCUACAGUUACCAAAAGAAGAAUUGCACCAUAAAAAACGCCUUUUUCUUUACUCAAGGCAAACAAAACGGCUCUGGUUGCCAGAUAUGCAGUCAGGGCCCAUGAAAAAAACGCUCCAAAUGGCAGCAAAUCAAAAGGGGCAGUAAAACACGCUGUGGAGCACCCCUCCCCGGCACAUACGAAGAGGACAGCCGAAGUGACCACUCAAAUCCGGCCAAAAAGUGGUGUGCAGCUAAAAAAAAUCCAGGAAAACCACGCCGGAGUCAUCUGACGUCAAUCCAGCAUUAUGUACAGUACUAUAACCCUUCUCAUGGCAACCCCGGCACAAAGCUGAGUUCAACGAAUACCCAGAACCCCACCAUAGUCCAAACGUAACCCCCGGUAGAAGUCAUAAAACGCUGUCCGCAACAGGCAACCCGGGAGUCAAAAAAGCCUAUAACUUGGGGUACGAACGUCACAGCCGGAUGGAAUCAAAAGUAAACUAAUCAGUACGGUCGGUUGCCCCCCCCCCCCCCCCCAGAGCGCUCGCUACUUACAAUAGGACCAAUUAAAAGUUUUAAUAACAUAUUCCAUGAACUGUUUUGAAAACCGUAGGCCAGAGGACAAAUAUGACAGGUGGUAUACCCCCAAACCAUACUAGUCCAGAUCGAGUGAUAUGGUUUUUUUCAGUUCAGUUUCAGUUUAUUCGCACAUCAUCAAAUACAGUACAUAAUAAUACGCUAGCAGUUCACAUGUUAAGACGCGCAUAGACCCAAGAGAAGGAACCCUGUCAAAACCACGUGACUGUCCAAAUUCGACCUGUCAUACCGAGGUUUUUCGUCAAUAACUUUCGAUCCGAAGAUCGUACGUUAAUUCCGACGGCAGAUAAGUUACAAAACCUCCCCAUUCCACAUCGUGUGAUAUGGUUUUUAACGCGAUCGGACCCACGGGAAGGAUUCCCACCGAAACUCCCAGUCACUAAAUGCGCACCUGUCAAAUCGAAGUUUACCGUUAAUAAAUCAAAAACUGCCGAUCGUAGAUGAAAUUUAACGGUAGUUUAGCCACAAAACCAUACCUCCCCACAUCACGUGGCCUGGUUUUUAACACGAUCAGACCCGUGGGAAGGAAACCUGUCAGUACCCGGAGUCCCCCUAAAUACGCACCUGUCAAACAGAGGUUUUCCGCCAAUAGCUAAAAACCCGCAGGGCGCAGGUAGAAAGUAACGACAGAUCAGCCACAAAACCAUACUAUUCCACCGCACGUGGUGUAGUUCUUAGCGCGAUCGGACCCAAGGAAGGGAUCCCGCCCAAAUAUAGAGUCUUCGUGAAUACGCACCAGUCAAACAGAAGUUUUCCGUAAAUAACUUACGAUCCGAAGGUCGUAUAGUAAUUAUAACGGUGGAUUAGUCAUAAAACCAUACUAUUCCACAUCGUGUGGUAUGGUUUUUGACGCGAUUGGACCCAUGGGAAAGAUACUUGUUCACGCCAUGAGUCCCACUAAAUGCGCACCUGCCAAUCCGAGAUUUCCCGUUUAUAACUCUAGAUCCGCAGAUUGUAGACUAAAUUAAACGAUGUAUUAGUCACAAAACCAUGCUGCUCCACAUGACAUGGUAUGGUUUUUAACACAAUCAGACCUGCCGGAAAGAAAUGCAACUGUCAAAUCGAGGCUUUUCGUUAAUAACUUAAAAACCGCAGAUCGUAGGUCAAAAUUAAAGACAGAUUAGCCACAUCACUCCACAUCCCGUGGUACGGUUUUUGACGUGAUCGGACCUACAGGAAGGAUUCCCGCCAAAUGCGCACCUAUCAAACCGAGAUUUUCCGUUAAUAACUCGAGAUCCGCGGAUUGUAGAUUAAUUUUAGCGGUGAAUUAGCCACAAAACCACACUACGCCACAUAAAAAGGUAUAGUAUUUAACGCAAUCAGGCCCGCGGGAAGGAAAUCCGUCCGCACACGGAAUUCCCCUAAAUGCGUAACUGUCAAAACGAGGUUUUUUGCUAAUAACUCAAAAACCACAAAUCCUAGGUUAAAAUUAACGACAGAUCAGCCACAAAACCACACCACUCCACAUCUCGCGGUGUGGUUUUUAGCGCGAUCGGACCCCUGGGGAGGAUCCCGUCAAAACCACGUGUCCUCCCACAUUUGCUCCGUCAAACCGAGGUUUUUCAUCAAUAACGUACGAUCCGAAGGUCGUUUGUUAAUUUUAACGGCAGAAAAGUCAUACAACCAUACCAAUACACCUUGUGCGGGAUGUUUUUUAACGCGAUCGGAUCUACGGGAAGGAUCCCCGUCAAAACCAUGAGUCCCGUUCAAUUCGGCCUGUCAAACCGGGGGCUUACGUCAAUAACUUGUGACCUGAAAGUCGUAUGUUAAUUUUGACGGCAGGUUAGACAUAAAACCACCUUAUUCGACAUCGUGUGGUAUGGUUUGUAACGCAAUCUGACCCAUGGGAAGGAACCCCGGCAAAAACCCGGAGUCCCCUCAAAUGCGCACCUGACAACCUGAGGACUUAUGUCAAUAACUUAGGAUUCGCAGAUCGUAGGUUAAAUUUAAGGGAAGAUCCGCCAUAAAACCCACAAUUCCACAUCGUGUGGCAUGGCCUUUAAUGCGAUCGGACCCACGGGAAGGAUCUCCGCCAAAAGCCCGAAAGCUGUCAAACCGUGGCUACCCGUUAGUAUUUCAAAAACUGCAGGUCGUGGGCUACUUUAACGUCAGAUUGGACACAGAACCACACCAUUCCACAUCAUGUGGUAGGGUUUCUAACGCGAUUGGAGCCAAGGAAAGGAAUCCCGUUAAGAUCUGGAAUCCCUUUAAAUCUGAAGCUGUCAAAACGAGAUAAUCCAUCUAGGCAGAGCGAGCGUGUGCGUGCGUAAACGCACGUGAGUAAAAGACAGAGUGUAGGGCUAGGAUGUGGUAGCGUAAAUGAUUGUGUGUGUGAGUUUACCUGUGUGUAUGCGUGAGUGUGUGUGCUUGUGCCAGGUUUGUCAUAGGAUGUGCCCGGGUAAGUGUGUGUGAGUAUGUGCGCGUGUGUGUGUGAGGUAGGUUCAGGGUUAGGGCAUGUAUAUACGCGUGUGUGUGAGUUAGGGGUAGGAUGUGUCAGGGUAAGUGCGCGUGUGUGUGUGCGUGUCUGUAUGUGUCAUUUCAGGCAAUCAGAACCAGAUUUGCAGACGUGCUGGAAAGCAAGAGUACCAUCUUGGCAGCUGUGACACUGCCGAAGUUUAAAUUACGUUGGCUGCGGACACAGGAAAAGAAGGAUAACGCCAAGGUACUUCUGCUGGCAGGGUGCCGGAAAAGUGUCCCAGAUGAAGACCAGCAACCAGGUACCAACACACAACCACAGCAGAGUCAGCACCGACUCCGCCAUAGAGGAUUUCUUUUCCUUUGAGGAUGAGGACGACACGUCUGCUUCUGCUGACAGCCGAGUCACCGACUUUUUCAAAUCUGUAGCACAAAGGAUUUACAGCCUAAAUGGGUUUCCACUGAUAAAGCAAUUGUCACUUAAAUACAAUGCAGCCAUUCCAUCCAGUGCCCAUGUAGAAAGACUCUGUAGCCUGGGGAAGCUUGUGUGAAGUAGAGUAGCAUAUGUCCGUUUGACGAGUUGUCUGACUAAAGACCAGGGGUCGCGUUAACCGAAUAUUUUCCGUGUUGACCGGUUUUUUAAAACGGUGACGGAAAAAAAUGAAGUCCAUCCGUCAUUCUGACAGGUUGCAAUUCACACCCCAGACCACAGGGUGGCGAGUGAGCAUAUUAAUUAGCUAUUGUGUCUCUUGAUGCAUGACGUCGUUGGCAUUACUCGGAAAAAUGUCAAGGCAACUGAGUGUCCGAAGUUUCUUUAAAAAGAUCCAAAACGACGAUGGAGUUGAUAAAAGAUGUGAAAAAAGAGGGAUUGAUGCAGUGGAGGAUGAAGGACACACAAGCAAUCAGCCCUCGGCAACUACUGAGCGAGCAAGCGGCAGCAAGGAGGUCAGGAGGGAGUACAGAGUUCAGUGGAAACAGGAGUUCUCCUGGCUGAGGAGGUAGGAUGGAAAAAUGUUUUGCGACAUAUGUAAAAAAGCCAAUAUGAGUAAUGGAUUUGUCCGAGGAGGCACGAACAUGCAGAAAUCAGCAUUAACUGACCACCAAAAUAGCCACAGCCACAUCGAGGCUUCAAGGAUGCUCAACCAGAGUGUGGCUAUGAUGAAGUAUGUGGAGAAAUCACAGGAUGCCUGCAACGAGGCAUUAAAAACAUAACUUAAGGUUGUGCUGCAUAUGGCUAAAACAAACACCCCGAGCCACCUGUAUCCUGACCUGAUUAAACUCUUACAGUCUGCCGGCUGUCCAAACCUUAACAGUGCACACAUAUACACCCACCAUGAGACAGUCAGUCAGAUGGAGGAGGCCUUAGCAAAGACCAUAACCAGCAAUAUUGAUGACCGCAUCGCCAACAGCAGAUAUGUUGGAAUUAUAAUAGAUGAAACCACUAAUAUCACUGUGGAGAAAAUGCUAAUCACAUACCUGACAAUUCAACAGAAAGGGGAACCUGAAACUGCGUUUAUCGGCAAUUACGCAAUUCCCCGUGGCACUGCUGAAUGCAUCACAGCAAAAUUAAAAGAUGUGCUGUCGGGCCGUGGCGUCGCUAUGGCUCGGGGUUUUAGUUUAGUUUAGUUUAUUCACACAUCGUAUCAUGGUACACACAUGAACAUGGUCAUAUAUACAAGCAAUUCAUCUGACAAGAUGUAUGAAAGGGACACUCCGAAUAAGCUAUUUAAAGCUUUUAGUAGGGGCCCAGUCAAACAGCACACACAUACACACAUUCAUACACAUACAUGCAAUUAACUAUGGGAAAUUUCAAAAUUCUGAUUACAUCGGAUUUGACAUGUGAUACCUUAGGAAUGUUAUUCAAAGACAGCAUAUUAAACAUACAUAGCAAGGAGAUGAGUUUUCAGUUUUUUCUUGAAAAUAGACAUGGAGUGUGACAUUUUAAGUGUUUCGUCCAGUUCAUUCCAGAUCUGUGGUCCUCUGCAUACAAUGCCAAAGCUUGUAGACUUUAGACUUCUGGUUUUUCCUGUGAUGUGAUUUUUUCUUCUAGUAGUAUAUGUGUGCUGAGGAGUACUGAUUGGGAUGAGAUCACUUAAUUUAUGGUUUAGUUUAUGGAUGACCUGAUACAUUAUGCAAGCAUUUUGAAAAUAGUUGUGUUCUUUUAGCCUCAGAAGGUGGUGGUGGUGAAAUAUUAAUUUAGUAGGAGCAUUGAACCCAGACCAUGUUAUGGCACGUAUGACUUUUUUCUGUAGGAGUUCAAGCUUUUUUAGAUAGGUUGGAAAUGUGUUGCACCAUAUGAUAUUACAAUAUUGUAAAUGUGGCUCAAAUAAAGAUUUAUACAGGGUGAGAAGUGCAGAUAGUGGGAUAUAAUGUCGCAGUUUAAAAAACAGCGCAGCAUAUUUCGACAGUUUAUUUGUGAGCUCAUCAAUAUGUUUUUUAAAAUUAAGGUACUCAUCAAUAUGGACUCCCAGGAAUUUUGUAGAGCAGACUCUUUCAAUGGUUUCUCCAUUUAUGUUUAAGCAGAUUUGUGUGAUGGGCUGUUUUUUAUUGGAGCGAAACACAAUGUAAUUUGUUUUAUUGAUAUUUAGAGAGAGUUUAUUACAUUUGAACCAUGUGUCUAUUUUCUUUAGUUCACUAUUUAUGAUUUGCUCAAGUGCAGAGGGAUGUUUAUGGGAAAAGAAUAAAUUUGUAUCAUCAGCAAAUAGUACUUUAUAAAAAACAGAUGAGGAAUUAACAAAGUCAUUAAUGUAAAGGAUGAAGAGGAGUGGCCCUAAGAUGGAGCCCUGGGGGACUCCAUGAUUGAGGAGUUUGUAUGAUGAUUCGGAAUUGUUAAUCUUGACAUACUGAUGUCUUCCAGAUAGAUAGCUACUGAACCACUCUAGUGCUAGGCCUCUAAUCCCAUAAUGUUGUAGUUUUUUAAUUAAUAUAUCGGUCUUAAUAGUGUCAAAUGCUUUGGAUAGGUCCAGAAAAACGCCGACUCCGUAGUCACCUUUGUCAAUUGUAUCGUGGAUUUUUUCUGUUAGAUCAAGUACUGCCAUAUAUGUGCUAUUUUUCUUUCUGAAUCCAUACUGCAAUGGUACAAUGAUGUCUAGCUUGUCUAGAUAGUUACUGAGUUUGUUGUAGACUACUCUUUCCAAUACCUUGGAAAGUGUAGGCAGAAUAGAUAUUGGUCGGUAAUUGCUCAGAUCAUUUUUAUCUCCAGAUUUUAAAAUUGGUGUGAUUCGUGCAAUUUUUGCUAUUUGAGGCACUACUCCAGAGAGUAGUGAUAAGUUGAUACAGUGGGUAAGAGGUGCAGUGAUAAUGUUGGAAAUGUGUUACAGAAUUAUGUUAGAAAUUCCAUCUGCUGCAGCUGAAUUUGAAUUCUUCAUGGUCAUGAUUAUUUUAUAGACUUCAUCAUAGGUAGUUGGAUUAAGGAAGAAGGAGCCCAGGUAAUUACCUGAUAAAUAAUCUCUUAAGGAGGCAUCUUGAGGCUGACUGAUUUUACUAGAUAUAUUACUACCAAUAGAGGCAAAGUAAUCAUUGAAUUUGUCAGUAAGACUGUUAUUUGUGGUGGCUGUAAUUAUAUUAUUAUCAUGCGCAGGGAACACAGGAGUUUUUUGUUUUUUGCUUAGGACCUUGUGUAGUACUCUCCAACAUUUCUUACAGUCACCCUGUGAUGCGUUUAUCAAUUCUGCAUAAUGGUUACUCUUUCUUUUCCUGAUAAUGUGUGUAAGUUUAUUUCUAUAAUUAAUAUAUUCAUUUUUAUUAUUAUAAUUAGGUGUGUUUAUAUAUCUUUUGUAUAAUUUAUUUUUGUGCUUAAUCGAUUUUAGUAUACCCUUGGUAAUCCAUGGAUUUUGAUUGAAUGUGCUGCAUUUGAUGGUUUUUUCAGGAAUUGUCCUUUCAAUCGAGUCACUUAUUUCUUUAGUAAGCGUCUCAAAUGCGGUAUUAGCAUCACUACAAAUGUAUAUUUUAUUCCAUGCCUUGUCCUUCAAAUCCUCACUCAAAUUAUACAGUUUCUUCAUUUAAUAUUUUUAUUUUUAUUUCAUGUUGUAUGGGUGAUGAUUUAGUAUGAAGGUCAGCAAAUAAUACAAUGGGGUAAUGAUCCGAAAUGUCAGAGAGUACGGCUCCAGACAUAAAUGUAGAGUUUUGAAUAUUUGUGAUGAUGUUAUCAAUAAUUGACUUUGUGGAUUGAGUGACUCUGGUAUAGGUGUUAAUUGUAGGUAAGAAGGAUGAAGAAUAUAAUACAUUUAUAAAUUCAUUCUGUGCAGUAGCAUCCCUAGAGAGGUCAAUAUUGAAGUCGCCAAGGAUGAUACAGCUCUUGCUUUUGCUGUUUAUAUAGAAUAAUGCUUCCUCCAUUCUGGUCCUAAAGAUUUCUAGGUCCGCGUCUGGGGGACGAUAGAUCACGCCGAUAAUAAGGUUCUUCCGGUUUUUACCACUUAUCUCAACAAAAAGGGAGUCACUAUGAUUGUCUGCUAUGACAAUAUCAUCACAGACAUUCACAUUGUAUGCAGAGGAGAUAUAUAGGCACACACCACCACCAGAUCUGCCACAUCUGUUCUUGGUGAACAACUUAUAACCAUUAAGACUUAAGAUGUCAAUGUAUGAUCUAUCAUUCAACCAAGUUUCACUACAACCUAUUGCAUCAAAGUUGCAGCCUGUACUUGUAAGAAGAGUAACUAGAUUGUCAUAGUGCUUGUUCAGGCUUCUGAUAUUUAAAUGUAGGAAUGAACAAUUAUUCCUAUUCGUCAAUGCUUUUAGUUGCUCAGGUUUAUACUGUUUGCAACUUAUGUUUCUAUAAUAGUCAAUACACUGUGUCACCUCCUCUCCUUCGCUGUCUAAUUCAUUAAAUACCAUUAAUAAAGUAGCUGGUGCAAUUUACUGAAAUCCUGUAAUCAACACACAUCCUUAUGAAAAUGUAAAUAUACAUAUACUCAUCCAUUCUGAAAACGACCCAGCCAUCAUACACACAUACAGUCAUACACUCAGAUUCACAGUAAUCCUCUGUGAACAUUACCAAACUAUAUUGCCACAGAGCAGACAAGCAAACAAGGAGAGCCUUGUUCUGUUCAGUUAAGUAGUAUUUGUGCCUAUUCCUAAGCCAAAUUGAGAAAAAAAGAAAAGAAAAAACAAUAAUAGUAAUAGUAGUAAAUAAAACAGAAGAGAGAGUGAGAGAGAAGAUGAGGACUGAUGAGAGGAGAAGAGAGAGUGUGGGAAAUUAACCGUCUUCCAAGGUCCUCAGUUGUCAUGGUGACAGAGACGCGAUUUGGAGACGUCAUCACCAUGCGUCUGUGUUUACACUUGCGGGGCGGCCGCAUGUGACAUCUUGACGGACUGUUCCUCUUGGAAGUUAGGCAUGAUGUUUUUGUCUCCUUUACUAAGCCAGUAAGUUAUUCGGGGGUUCGUGUAAAGUUUGCCGUCGAUGUAAAGCUUGUCAAUGGACAGACGAGCGUUCUGUUUGGCUUUCCUCGCCUCGGCCAUGAUCGGGUGUAGCAACCUUCGUCUGUUCAUGAUCUCCGGCGGGAACUGGUCGCCGAUGGAGUAGUUGGUGCCCUUUAGCUCUCUACCCCUCGACAUGACGGCAGACUUCAUUUUGGAGUCAACGGCUUUAGCCACAAUGGGACUUUGUAGACCUUUAAACUUAAAAUUAUCUAUCCCGCAUACUUUGAAAUGUUGGUAUAUAAUAGUAGGUUUUCUCUGAUAAUAACGAAUAAAAUAUAAAUGUUUUUUAAUACGUGCUAUCAAUGUUCUGCCCGUUUCUCCAAUAUAGAUUUUGUGACAUUUAUAACAUUGGAUAUAUAGGUAGACCUCGACCCGUGAUCCUAUUCAACAAAAAGGGUGAAUAUCCUAACAUCAUACUUUGCCAUUUAUUAUUUUCUAUAUUAUGACCCAUGGCCGUAUGAACUAAUAUAUCCUUUAAAUUUUUAUUCCUUCUAUAGGCCCGUAUUAUUUUUACAUUUUUCAUCUCCUCCUGUUCUUUUUGUAGUUUAACAAAAUUAUUUUUAAUAUUGAAAUGAAACGUCGCUAGAUGAUUCGAAAAGGUAGUUAUUAUCGGAACCAAUUUAUCGUUGUAAUUUUCUUUUGAAUCAGCGGGUGAGUUGAAUUUUUUCCCUGCACUUAACACAACGGGGCUAAAAACAAAUGCUAUUUUAUAUUUGCUGUAUUUUUCUGCCGCACAUUGCCGGUGUUCUGACAAAGUUGGCAUGCGCGUAACGUUAAAAAGGACCGCGAAUGCAGCGAUUCCAAAGUACACACUACAAACUUUCUUUAAAGAAAGAAAUAUUAACUUACGUUUGCCGUGUUAGGUGCACACAACAACUGCACGUAGCCUUCUCACUUAACGACUUCGCCAUGUUGUUAAGCAUUAAUUUAUGCAAUUUCGGUGUUGCACAUGUAUGUUUAUGAUGUAAAUAGUUUUUUAGCACCAUUGCAUAACAUUGAGAGUCCAACUGAAUAUAAAAGAGGGCUUUUUUCACCGCCACAAAAGCUCAUUUGGGAGCAAAAUUUUAUAAGUGUGCAAAAUUUGACAGGACACCGGUCCGUGAUAAAAAGACCCAAAUCACACCGGUCCGUGGUGCAAAAAAGGUUGGGGACCCCUGCUUUAGAGCAUUCAUGGCAAAGGUUGACCCCACAUAUGUCCUGCCCAGUCGACAAGCAGUAAAGGCACUAAUAACAAAUAAAUAUCAAGCUGCAAAGGAGAAGGCCAUAAAUAAGUUGGAGAAGGUGGAGUCAGUAAGCCUAACUUCUGAUAUGUGGACGUCCAUCAACAUGGAUGCCUACCUUGGCCUUACCUGUCACUACAUAAAUGACAAUAUGGAGCUAGAAAGUGUCUUUCUAGGUGUAGAACAUUUUCCACUCUCGCACACAGCAGAGCAUAUAAGAGAUGCACUGGACACUGAGGCAAAAGAUCCACUGAUGCAGCAAAUAUGACUCUAAGCGCAAAAUUACUCAACAUCAGAAACGUGCCAUGCCUUGCACACGGUUUUGAUUUAAUUGUGAAAAAGGCACUUGAGCAAACCACUCGUAUUUCAGAAAUACGAACCAAAGCCAGGAACAGUCACAUUUUUUAAGACAAGCACAACUGCCAAACAGAAACUGUGCGAGCUUCAGCAGCAUUUCAACCAGCCAGCCCACAAACUCCUCCAAGAAGUAGAGACACGUUGGAAUUCAACAUAUUACAUGCUGCAACGGUUGUAUGAACAACGAGAGGCAAUCGGUGCGGCUUUAGCUGUGCUGAGGACAGACAUCCCACCUCUGUGAUUUACAGAAUUUGAAACAAUAAGUCAAUGUUUAGAGGUUCUUGGACCAUUCAGCCUGGCCUCAACUGAAUUGUCAGCAGAGAAAACUGUUUCGGCCUCAAAGGUCAUCCCAAUCAUCCGGAUGGUGCAACAUAAAUUAUCCAUUAAGUCCUCGGAACUUAAAAAUCACAGUCAUGUCCUUACUGCAGAACCUGCAGCAACUCUUAAUGACUAGGUGCAGUGUAGAAAACAUUCGAAUAUUGGCAAUGGCAACAGUUUUGUAUCCACGUUUUAAAACUAUUGCAUUUGGGAACCGAUCACAUGGUCAAGAAGCGGUUUCAAGAUUGACCGCAGAAUGUGCUAGAGUCAUGCAACUUGACCGAGCGACACCAUCAACAUCACAGGUACAUUGCUAUUUUUAACUGUUUAUUUUUCUUCUUCAUGUACAAACAGCAUGGUUAUUGGAUAUCUUUAAUUAUUUACUUUAGGAACCAAUGGGUGAGGAUGAGCCUGCAACGGAAAAGGAAGACAGCCUGUGGGAUCUUUUUGACAGCCGAGUUGGCAAGAAAGUUCUCGUGCUCAGCACCAAGCACAGGGAGCCUCUCAGGACAGCAUGAAGCAAAAGCCAGAAAUGAUUCUGGCUUACAACCGGUGCAAAGGUGCUGUAGACCGCCUGGACCAGGCCUGCAGCACCUACUCUGUCCACCGGCGGGCACAGAGAUGGCCAUGUGCCUCUUCUACCACAUGGUUGACGUUUCGUGCUACAAUGCGUUCGUGCUGUACACCGAGAUAACCCGGACUGGAAUGCCACUAAGCGCUACAAGAGGAGACUUUUCCUCGAGGAGCUUGGCAUGGCACUAAUACAGCCGGAAAUCGUACACCGAUCGCUAAUAACGGACCGACAGGUAGCCUUUCCCUUUCAAGCGCCAGAGGCGGAACCUGGACCUUCGCCUUAAAGGAAACAGUGCGGACUUUGUCGAAGCCCACUGCGGGCAUCGAACGUUUGCACAAAAUGUGGCAUACCUGUGUGCAAAAAGCACAUGAAUCCAGUUUGCAAGAACUGUUUAAACAAAAAAAAGUUGUUCAUGUUCAUUUUUGUUCACCAUUGGUUUAUUGUUCAUGUUGUUCAUUGUUUGUUGGCUGUUUAUAAAUUCUGUUAACUAUAAAUCCUUUGUUGUGACUCUUUGACCUUUACAAGGUUCUAAUUAUUUUGUAUAAAAUAGGUCUGAUACCACAGAAUAUUUUGAGUGGUCAAAAGUUAAAAAAAAAAAAAAAAAAAUUCAGAAAUGACACACUACAGAGGUCUGCCAAUUUCCAGACAAAAAAUCCUCUUUCAGGGUAAAAAAUAGAAAAUUGCCAUUGCCAAAAAAAUGUGCAUGCUACAAAAAAUCUGUUGUUAUGAUUUAUUAACAUAUUCAAGGCUCUAAUUACUCGUAUCAAAUAUUCCACUUUUUAAAAAAAUUUUUAUAUAGAUGUACACAUAAUUACUUUUUUGCUUUUAUUGUACAUAAAGGGUACCCAAAACAAAUAAAUAAAUCAAAACUAUAUGGGUAGGUCUGAUGCCACUGAAUAGUCUGAGAGGUCGAAAGUCAAAAAAUAUUCAUAAAUGACUUAGUUAUCACACUUCAAAGGCAGAGCCAAUUUUUGGACAAUUAACAAUUAACUUUGGGUUAUCAAUUUGAGCCCAAACGAAAGCCAAUGCAGCCUAAUGAAACGAUCAUUGAGGGGAGCAAUCACACUGAUGAAACACCGGCAACAGAUCGUGUGGGAAACACCGAAUGGUUUGUUUUGCAUUUCUUUUUGUGAAGCUGAUACACCGUGACUGCAAAAUAAAUGUAUAGAACAAUUAUCAUUUAUUGUGCUAUGAUAGGUUUUUGCGCUGCCAACAGACACAAAUAUGAAUGGGAUUACAGGAUUUGUUGUAUAUAUUUUACGAGCGAUUAAUUUAUACAUGUGUCCAGUCCUAUAUCCAAUGCGCGAUAUUUUUUUUAUUAUAACAUAGGAGGAGAGUUUGUGGCUGCUUUUGGAGACUUACAGCAGCAUCCUGGCGCCGUGCUGCCUUCUCCUCUCUUCUCUCCAUUUUCCAUUCCACUUGCACUGCUGUCUUAGACUCCAUUGCCCCUCUUCGGCAAAAAAGCUCCAAUUCCAAAGCCGCUCUAUGGUUUAACGACUAUACCCGCCUGCUCAGGCAGAAAUGCAGGCGGGCUGAAUGCCAAUGAAAAAAGGACAAACUCCAUGUUUCUCUGGGAUUGCUGAGGGACACCUUAGCUGCCUACCAGGAGGCCAUAAAACAGGCCAAGUCUAAUUAUUUAUCUUCGAUUAUAAAUAAUAGCUCCAGUCAUCCAAGACUGCUUUUUAACACUACUGAUUCUGUUUCAAACCCACAACCCACUGUCUUAACUUAUGUGUCAGCUGCCACAUGUGAAGAGUUUCUCACUUUCUUUCAAAACAAAGUCUCUUCAGUUAGACAAAAUGUCUGCAACUCUGGUUUCUCAUCCGAUAACGUAUGUCCUUCAGAACUGCUCAAUACCUUUGAGCAAUUUGAUCAUAUUUCAUUGACAUCUCUCACCAAAAUAGUUAGUGGCAUGAAACCCACUAACUGUCCAUUAGAUGUAAUACCAGCUAGGCUUCUGAAGGAAGUCUUUAGUUGCCUUGAAUCAAGUCUGCUGUCCCUCAUAAACACCUCUCUCAGUUCCGGUUCUGUCCCAGCUGCCUUCAAACAGGCUGUAGUCAGACCCCUUCUUAGGAAAACCCAUCUCGACUCCUCUGUGCUGUCCAAUUUUAGACCCGUCUCCCACUUGUCUUUCCUUUCCAAAGUUUUAGAAAAAGUUGUUUUUAUUCAAUUGCAAACCUUCUUAGAGACAAACUCCACCCUUGACAGGUUCCAAUCAGGCUUCAGGUCCAGACACAGCACUGAGUCAGCAUUGUUAAAAGUGCAUAACGACAUUGCCCUUUCUGUGGAUAAUGGAAACCCGGCUAUCCUUGUUUUACUGGACCUCACACAGCAGCAUUCGAUACAGUUGAUCAUACAGUCCUUGUAGCUCAUUUAGAACAUGUCAUAGGUAUCCGUGGUAACGCUCUAAAAUGGUUUAAAUCGUACCUACAACAUAGAACAUUCUCGGUAAUGAUUGGGGAAUUUUCCUCCUCACAAACUUCUCUGUCUUGCGGGGUACCGCAAGGCUCUAUUUUAGGGCCUGUUCUUUUUGCGCUUUAUUUCCUACCUAUAGAAUCAAUUUAAAAAAAAAACAUAAUAUCGCUUUUCAUUUUUAUGCUGAUGACCUGC